GGGGGAUAACUACUGGAAACGGUAGCUAAUACCGCAUAACGUCGCAAGACCAAAGAGGGGGACCUUCGGGCCUCUUGCCAUCGGAUGUGCCCAGAUGGGAUUAGCUUGUUGGUGGGGUAACGGCUCACCAAGGCGACGAUCCCUAGCUGGUCUGAGAGGAUGACCAGCCACACUGGAACUGAGACACGGUCCAGACUCCUACGGGAGGCAGCAGUGGGGAAUAUUGCACAAUGGGCGCAAGCCUGAUGCAGCCAUGCCGCGUGUAUGAAGAAGGCCUUCGGGUUGUAAAGUACUUUCAGCGGGGAGGAA
rnacentral:rRNA from 1 species